rnacentral:rRNA from 1 species
CCUACGGGGGGCAGCAGUGGGGAAUUUUGGACAAUGGGGGCAACCCUGAUCCAGCCAUUCCGCGUGAGUGAAGAAGGCCUUCGGGUUGUAAAGCUCUUUCGGCCGGGAAGAAAUCGCAUCUCCUAAUACGGGGUGUGGAUGACGGUACCGGAAGAAGAAGCACCGGCUAACUACGUGCCAGCAGCCGCGGUAAUACGUAGGGUGCGUACUUUACGCGGAAUUACUGGGGGUAAAGCGCGCGCACGCGUGUGAAAUCCCCGGGCUUAACCUGGGAACUGCGUUUGUGACUGGUGGGCGUGAGUGCGGCAGAGGGGGGUGGAAUUCCACGUGUAGCAGUGAAAUGCGUAGAGAUGUGGAGGAACACCGAUGGCGAAGGCAGCCCCCUGGGUCGACACUGACGCUCAUGCACGAAAGCGUGGGGAGCAAACAGGAUUAGAUACCCCAGUAGUC